ensembl:lncRNA
CUUUUGCCCUGUUCAUCGGAUUUGGACUUUUCUGCCCCUGCCUACCUCACUGGAGUACCUGAUGGAUGGCUUAGUGUCGCACACCGACCCCCUCCUGAGGGGCCUCCUGAGCGUCCCCUCAGGGCUUGAUCGUACCUGAGUUCUUUAACCGCAGAAAGACUGCAGACGAGCACUUGGGUUGCCAAACUAUGGCCCUUGGAGAACCCAGGUGUGACACACGGGAUGGAUAAUCUUUUGGCUCCGUUCCCGYGUGGUGGAGUGUGAUCAGUUCAGGCUGAUCAUCUCAGGCCGAUGUACAAAAAGUUGCUGCUUUCUGGCUUGCCUUUUUGCUUUGAAACGGGAGGUGACCUGAAGCAUAUCAUCAUGAUAUUCAUGGCAUUCCACCUGAAGGUACAAAGUGCUGCAAUCUUCAGCUGUUUUGCGUUCAGACACGGAGGUUUCAAGUCAUUUCCCUUUCCAGUGCAAGUGUUUGGAGCACCGGCUGAAGAUCAGGUGAUUGCUAGAAUGCUUACUCCUAUACAUGCUGGUUCUUUCUAUGUGCAGCACAAAAAUGAACUGUCUUGUGGAAAGAGAAAUGCCAGGGAUUGGUAG